UACGUAGGGUGCAAGCGUUGUCCGGAAUUAUUGGGCGUAAAGAGCUCGUAGGCGGUUUGUUGCGUCGGCUGUGAAAUCCCGAGGCUUAACCUGGGAACUGCAUUCGAGACUGCAUUGCUAGAGUAUGGGAGAGGGAAGUGGAAUUUCCGGUGUAGCGGUGAAAUGCGUAGAUAUCGGAAGGAACAUCAGUGGCGAAAGCGACUUCCUGGACCAAUACUGACGCUCAUGUGCGAAAGCGUGGGGAGCAAACAGG
rnacentral:rRNA from 1 species